UUGGAAAUAAAAUUGUGGAUUAUUUACACUUUGUUGAACAAUUUGUGAAUUCAUUAUUAUAACAAAACCAUAAACGGUAAGUUCAGUGUUUCAGAAAUAAUAAUGAAAGGAGUAGGAAGCAUUUGCCAAAGAUAAAUACUUUAUCUGAUCGAACCACACACACCCUUUUUGUCCUCGACCAAGAUAAUAUUACGUUUACCAGAUUCCUGGAAUGAAAAAUAACAAAUAGCACCCCAUGGGCGUUGAGUUGUUGUUGAUUAGUCGCAUCCACCAAUCCUAGCAAGGAUUCCCUGUGAAUCCCCUUUUUACCAAAAGAAAAUUUGCUCGGGUAUAUAUAGACCGUCGGUAACAAGCAAGCGCAAAGAAGUUACCAAAAGUAUUCAGUGCAGUUUUUCCGAGUGUUAACAGUUGCAACAAGUGCAAAAAUGGAUAAAAGUGGUCGCGACAAUCGCUCCAACCAGAUGAAUCCGAACAAUUCGGCCUACUCUUCCAGCAGGGGUGGUUCAAACACCGGCUCGUCUGGACGUUCGCAACAAGAUUACGACAACCGUUCGAAUCAACUCAACCCGAAUAAUUCGGCCUAUUAUUCCUCGCGAGGAGGGCAGAAAAAGUAAUUGUUCCGUCUUUCUGAAAUGUUUUCAUGUCUCGAAUAAAAUUUUCUAAAAACGA